CUACCAUGGCAGUAACGGGUAACGGAGAAUUAGGGUUCGAUUCCGGAGAGGGAGCCUGAGAAACGGCUACCACAUCUAAGGAAGGCAGCAGGCGCGUAAAUUACCCAAUCCCGAUUCGGGGAGGUAGUGACAAGAAAUAUAAACCCGGGGAAUUCUAUUCUUACGGGAUUUAAAUGAGAACAAUUUAAAUCACUUAGCGAGGAACAAUUGGAGGGCAAGUCUGGUGCCAGCAGCCGCGGUAAUUCCAGCUCCAAUAGCGUAUAUUAAAGUUGUUGCAGUUAAAAAGCUCGUAGUUGAAUUUCUGGUCAUUUUUAGUCUUGGCUUCGGUCGGGCUAAGGUUGGCCAUCCGUUUGCAAGCUAUUCUCGGCCUUCACUGGUUCGGAAUAGUGAGCUGACAUUUUACUUUGAAAAAAUUAGAGUGUUUCAGGCAGGCUUUUGCCCGAAUACAUUAGCAUGGAAUAAUGGAAUCGGACUCUUGUCCAUUUGGUUGGUUAUUGGAUUUGAGUAAUGGUUAAUAGGGACAGUUGGGGGCAUUAGUAUUUAAUUGUCAGAGGUGAAAUUCUUGGAUUUAUUAAAGACUAACUUAUGCGAAAGCAUUUGCCAAGGAUGUUUUCAUUAAUCAA
rnacentral:rRNA from 1 species